rnacentral:rRNA from 1 species
CAGCAGCCACGGGAAUACGUAGGUGGCAAGCGUUGUCCGGAAUUAUUGGGCGUAAAGGGCUCGCAGGCGGUUUCUUAAGUCUGAUGUGAAAGCCCCCGGCUCAACCGGGGAGGGUCAUUGGAAACUGGGAAACUUGAGUGCAGAAGAGGAGAGUGGAAUUCCACGUGUAGCGGUGAAAUGCGUAGAGAUGUGGAGGAACACCAGUGGCGAAGGCGACUCUCUGGUCUGUAACUGACGCUGAGGAGCGAAAGCGUGGGGAGCGAACAGGAUUAGAUACCCGAGUAGUCCCUGUCUCUUAUAU